rnacentral:rRNA from 1 species
UGGAUCUUAGUGGCGAACGGGUGAGUAACGCGUAGGCAAUCUGCCUUCUAGAUGGGGACAACAUCCCGAAAGGGGUGCUAAUACCGAAUGUUGUACCGUUUCCGCAUGGAGAUGAUACUAAAGGUGGCCUCUGAAUAUGCUACCGCUAGAAGAUGAGCCUGCGUCUGAUUAGCUAGUUGGAGGGGUAACGGCCCACCAAGGCUUCGAUCAGUAGCCGGUCUGAGAGGAUGAACGGCCACACUGGGACUGAGACACGGCCCAGACUCCUACGGGAGGCAGCAGUGGGGAAUCUUCCGCAAUGGACGAAAGUCUGACGGAGCAACGCCGCGUGAGUGAAGAAGGUUUUCGGAUCGUAAAGCUCUUUCGUUAGGGACGAACGUGCUCUUUGUGAAUAAUGAGGAGUAAUGACGGUACCUAAAUAAGAAGCCACGGCUAACUACGUGCCAGCAGCCGCGGUAAUACGUA